rnacentral:tRNA from 1 species
AGAAAUGUAGCUCAGUGGUAGAGUGCCUGGCCAGCAAGUAGGAGGCCCUGCAUUCAAUUCCCAGCACUGCAA